UACGUAGGUGGCAAGCGUUAUCCGGAUUUAUUGGGCGUAAAGGGAACGCAGGCGGUCUUUUAAGUCUGAUGUGAAAGCCUUCGGCUUAACCGGAGUAGUGCAUUGGAAACUGCCAUACUGGAGUGCCGGAGAGGUAAGCGGAAUUCCUAGUGUAGCGGUGAAAUGCGUAGAUAUUAGGAGGAACACCAGUGGCGGAGGCGGCUUACUGGACGGUAACUGACGCUGAGGCACGAAAGCAUGGGGUAGCAAACAGG
rnacentral:rRNA from 1 species